rnacentral:rRNA from 1 species
UACGUAGGGUGCAAGCGUUGUCCGGAAUUAUUGGGCGUAAAGAGCUCGUAGGCGGUUCGUCGCGUCGGCUGUGAAAGUCCGGGGCUCAACUCCGGAUCUGCGGUGGGUACGGGCAGACUAGAGUGAUGUAGGGGAGACUGGAAUUCCUGGUGUAGCGGUGAAAUGCGCAGAUAUCAGGAGGAACACCGAUGGCGAAGGCAGGUCUCUGGGCAUUAACUGACGCUGAGGAGCGAAAGCAUGGGGAGCGAACAGG